CAGCCGCCACGGGAAUACAGAGGGUGCGAGCGUUAAUCGGAUUUACUGGGCGUAAAGCGUGCGUAGGCGGCUAAUUGAGUCGGAUGUGAAAUCCCCGAGCUUAACUUGGGAAUUGCAUUCGAUACUGGUUAGCUAGAGUGUGGGAGAGGAUGGUAGAAUUCCAGGUGUAGCGGUGAAAUGCGUAGAGAUCUGGAGGAAUACCGAUGGCGAAGGCAGCCAUCUGGCCUAACACUGACGCUGAGGUACGAAAGCAUGGGGAGCAAACAGGAUUAGAUACCCCUGUAGUCCCUGUCUCUUAUAC
rnacentral:rRNA from 1 species